rnacentral:rRNA from 1 species
CACGUAGGGGCCAAGCGUUGUCCGGAUUUAUUGGGCGUAAAGAGCUCGUAGGCGGUUCGACAAGUCGGGUGUGAAAACUCCGGGCUCAACCCGGAGACGCCACCCGAUACUGUCGUGACUGGAGUCCGGUAGGGGAGUGGGGAAUUCCUGGUGUAGCGGUGAAAUGCGCAGAUAUCAGGAGGAACACCGGUGGCGAAGGCGCCACUCUGGGCCGGUACUGACGCUGAGGAGCGAAAGCGUGGGGGAGCGAACAGG